CCUACGGGAGGCAGCAGUGGGGAAUAUUGGGCAAUGGGCGCAAGCCUGACCCAGCAACGCCGCGUGAAGGAAGAAGGCUUUCGGGUUGUAAACUUCUUUUCUGAGGGACGAAGAAAGUGACGGUACCUCAGGAAUAAGCCACGGCUAACUACGUGCCAGCAGCCGCGGUAAUACGUAGGGGGCAAGCGUUAUCCGGAUUUAUUGGGUGUAAAGGGCGGGUAGGCGGGAAAGCAAGUCAGAUGUGAAAACUCAGGGCUCAACCCUGAGCUGGCAUUUGAAAAUGUUUUUCUUGAUUGCUGGAGAGGCAAUCGGGAUUCCGUGUGUAGCGGUGAAAUGCGUAGAUAUACGGAGGAACACCAGUGGCGAAGGCGGAUUGCUGGACAGUAACUGACGCUGAGGCGCGAAAGCGUGGGGAGCAAACAGGAUUAGAUACCCCUGUAGUC
rnacentral:rRNA from 1 species